ncrna:unclassified sequences Transposase-2 RNA
GAAGCGCGAACCAAGCGGGCGCAGAAAAGCGCCGUGAGACUUGGAGCUGGCCUUGGCAACGAGGCCAUGCA